rnacentral:lncRNA from 1 species
CAAUAUUAGUAUACUUUGAAGAUAAGAAAUGAUAUGUUUCGGAUGCGUAUCGGAGCAAUCAACCAAGGCAUCAAAAUUAAUUCUGUUUUUCUUAAAUUAAGAUUUUAUUUAGAAAUCAUAUGGAGUUUAAGCUUUUAUACAAAAUCAGAUUCUGAAUUACAUAGGAUUUUCAAUAGAGGCUUUCAAAAUCAUAUUUUGAGAUAUGUAUCUUCCACAUUAU